UACAGAGGUCUCAAGCGGUGGUCGGAUUCAUUGGGCGUAAAGGGCGCGUAGGCGGUAAAGUAAGUCAGAUGUGAAAUCCCGGAGCUCAACUUCGGAACGGCAUUUGAAACUACUUUUCUAGAGGGUAGGCGGAGAAAACGGAAUUCCACAAGUAGCGGUGAAAUGCGUAGAUAUGUGGAAGAACACCUGUGGCGAAAGCGGUUUUCUAGCUUAUACCUGACGCUGAUGCGCGAAAGCAAGGGGAGCAAACAGG
rnacentral:rRNA from 1 species